rnacentral:rRNA from 1 species
AUUGAACGCUGGCGGCAGGCCUAACACAUGCAAGUCGAGCGGAUGAGGAAAGCUUGCUUUUCGAUUCAGCGGCGGACGGGUGAGUAAUGCCUAGGAAUCUGCCUGUUAGUGGGGGAUAACUCGGGGAAACUCGGGCUAAUACCGCAUACGUCCUACGGGAGAAAGUGGGGGAUCUUCGGACCUCACGCUAACAGAUGAGCCUAGGUCGGAUAAGCUAGUAGGUGUGGUAAUGGCUCACCGAGGCGACGAUCCGUAACUGGUCUGAGAGGAUGAUCAGUCACACUAGAACUGAGAAACGGUCCAGACUCCUACGGGAGGCAUCAGUGGGGAAUAUUGGACAAUGGGCGAAAGCCUGAUCCAGCCAUGCCGCGUGUGUGAAGAAGUUCUUCGGAUUGUAAAGCACUUUAAGUUGGGAGGAAGGGUAUUCACCUAAUACGUGGGUACUUUGACGUUACCAACAGAAUAAGCACCGGCUAACUCUGUGCCAGCCGCCGCAGUAACAC